GCACGUACUACCUUAAUACUGACCUUCGGCAUCCAGCCUCCCUGCUCGGUCGCCCAGCAGGCUUUCCGUGCUUGCCGAGGUCUCUGAGUCCACGUUUUCCUCAUCAGAGCAUCGCUGGUCAAGCUCAGGUAAUCGGAUUCCUCUCACCACUGAACCUCACAGCCCCCACUCCAGCACCACCCUCGUUUAAAAUCUCCUACGGCCCGUUCCCCGAGGCAGCUGCACGAGGACCCUGUCAGAGCUCAGCGAGCCGUCUCCCGAGCAGCAACCAGAGCUGCGGCACCAUCUGAACAGCUUCUCGCUGUUACUGUUUCAGAAUCUUAAAAAAAUGACCAUCGUGGACCAAGGAAUCGACGCAAAGGACUUUUGAACGUAGACCUAAAAGUAAAGUCAACACAGGUUUUUCUCACACAAUCAGGCAGGAUUCCAUUAUGAAUAGGUGACUAAGAAGUAAAUCUCCAGAACAGAAGUUAUUCAGCUCCAAAGACUGGCGAAGUAAAACAAAACCAGAGGAAAGGGGAAAGAGAUUAACUAGCUGGAUCGCAUUUACUGUGGAGAAGUGUGACCUCUCCGUGCUCCAUUUUCCAACUGUUUCAAGUUCACUGGAGAUAAAUUACCUAUAUAAGAAGGCCCUUUUCCUGAAAAUCCACUGCUAGAACCACAGCUACAGGCAGAAUGAACGAACCAAACAUCCAAUUCAUGUCAGCUACGGACACUACAGCAAUUUUGCUGACUGGCUGAGAAAAUUCCCUGCUUUUUCUUUUCCUGCCCCACGUGCUAGUGUCACACAUUCUGGUGCGGGCGAUACCUGGGUGUACCAGGGUAAAUUAAGGAAAGGGAACGCUCAUUAGUCCAUUUGGUUAAAACCAGCCCCAUGGCCACAGAG